GAGGCUGCGAACAGCCUGCUGGGAAGCUGCGGAGGGGCAGGGUCCGCAGCUGCGCAGAGAAUGAAAUGGAGGGUCCAUCACUGACAAGGCAGGCCUCUCCUCAGGAUGAAAACCUUGGCGGGGGAUUCCCAGUUUCUUUCAUUGAAGAUUUUAUUAGAGAAGAAAAGUUUUAUACCAAGUAUAAAUAUGCCCACAACCAUGUAAAAAUGUGACUGCAGGAAGAAUACGGGAGAAGUGAAGUAAUAAAGGGGAGGAUGUGAAGAGACACAGCUAGCAAAUAUGUACCAUCCUGUCAGGUAUUUAUACAGAAGCUAUGUGGGAUAAGUUCAUUUGUCUGCUGCGUAUCCCCCAACAGCAUAUCAGUUGAUUAGAAAUAGAAGGAUUAAUUUUGAAUGCUGAAUUUUUUCACUAAUCUGCAAAUCUAACCAUAAACAGUAUCAAAAUGUUUUAACCACUAUCAACUUGUCAUAAGUUUUGAAAGGAAGGAGUAUGUGCCAAGUAGUCCACAUUUCAUUGGUUUUCAGGAUUGUUUUGAGUACACAGGGUAGCUGCUUGCAUUUCCAUAGAAAUUUAAGCACUGUGUUGUUCAUUUCGAUGACAAUAGUAAAUUAUCUAGGGUGUAGACUGUGCCUUUACUUAAUCUCUAAUUGCCCAGGAAAUUUAUGUUAUCUUAACAAUAUUUAGCCUUAUAAUCAAUGAACCUGGGGAAUUUUAAAAUUUGUAUAGUUCUAUUCUAAUUUUUAUUCUGCAAAACGUAAAUAAAUGUAAGUGCACUUAGCCUAUAUAAUUAUUUAUUUUGUUUAUUUCUUUUAUUUUUCUGC